GCCUGGGUGGCUCAGUCGGUUGAGUGUCCGACUUCAGCUCAGGUCAUGAUCUCGCGGUCCGUGAGUUCAAGCCCCACAUCAGGCU
rnacentral:tRNA from 1 species